rnacentral:rRNA from 1 species
UUUUAUUUGAGAGUUUGAUCCUGGCUCAGGAUGAACGCUGGCGGCGUGCCUAACACAUGCAAGUUGAGCGAUUUACUUCGGUAAAGAGCGGCGGACGGGUGAGUAACGCGUGGGUAACCUACCCUGUACACACGGAUAACAUACCGAAAGGUAUGCUAAUACGGGAUAAUAUAUUUGAGAGGCAUCUCUUGAAUAUCAAAGGUGAGCCAGUACAGGAUGGACCCGCGUCUGAUUAGCUAGUUGGUAAGGUAACGGCUUACCAAGGCGACGAUCAGUAGCCGACCUGAGAGGGUGAUCGGCCACAUUGGAACUGAGACACGGUCCAAACUCCUACGGGAGGCAGCAGUGGGGAAUAUUGCACAAUGGGCGAAAGCCUGAUGCAGCAACGCCGCGUGAGUGAUG